CACCUGUCGCAUAUGGGCUACACUGUGAAAUCGAUGCACCUAAAUCUCCACAGCUCAGGGCCUCCCCUCGAUCCACCAUCAAAUCAGCCACCAUUCCAAGUACCAUUAUAAGGCAAGCAAUUCUUAAAGAUUUUGCCAUUUCUCUAGUAUAUAUGUCUUUGUUUAUGCAAGACUUGUGAAAAUGCUGAGGAUGAAUUUGCAACUAGACAAUGCAGGUAUUUAUAGGCUUGUUUCGGAUUUUUUUAUUAAAUUGCUUAGGACAGGAAAGUAGGCUGGAUUUUAUCCGUGCUAUUAUCUUCAGAUAUAUGAAAAACACUUAUCUUUUUGUUCAAAUGGUCAAGACCAGAGCCGAGCAUGGUUUCCGGUUAGACUUUGUUCAUCAAGUUUCUUACUAUUUCGAGGUAAUAUUACUUAAUGCCAGACAGCAUAAACUUAAAAGCUGGGGGUGGUGUUUGGUUGAGCAGUUGAGAUAUGAGAGGCGUGGAGUUUCAGUCUUGAUUGUAUACUACUAUUAAUCUAAGAUCGCAUCACUACAAUGUCAAUUUAGAACAUAACAUCUUGCAGUUGUUAGGAAGGAGUUUGACCGCAUUUACAGGUAUAUUAGCAACAUCAUAUGUUAGCUACUACUCCCUCCGUCCCCUUUUACAUAUCCAUUUUGGUUUCUAGAAGUCAAAUUGACCGAUUUUUGACUAAACAUUACAAAGUAUAUAUUCAUUAUUUUAAUAAUCCGACAAUUACAUAUUAAAAUAGACUAAAUAUACUUUCUAAUGAUAUAAUAAUAAUUAUUUUUUUAAUUAUAUGAUACGUGUAAAUUUCGGUCAAAGUAUAAUCAAUUUGACUAGUCAAAAUUCAAAAUGGACAUGUAAAAAGGGACGGAGGGAGUAUUUUGUAGAUAACUAUUCGAAUGACACAAGUUUAAUUUAAUUUGUUAGUACUUUUUAUUGGUAUUCUCUUAAAAUUUCCUUCUUUCUAUUGACAUAAUUUAAACAUCUAAGGUUCGAUCCCAUCAAACUACAUAUUAAAUUUUAAAAUAUUAAUUUUAAAAGAUAUACUUUAUUGUAAAAUCUUGACAAUUACAUUAUACUUUAUUUCAAAAUUAUUAAAAAUAAACCAUCAAAAUUAGAAUGUGCACACAAAUUGUAAGUUAGUAUUAUAUAUUUCCAACUUUUCUAUAUUGUGGUCUUGCCCACAAAUUUUGGUAAAUGGAGGGGUUUUGAUUUGAGGUGAAGUUGUCAAAUGAAGUGUCAUUUCUUAAAUAUGUAUUAUGUUAUCUGGACUCGGCUAUUUCCAGCAUGGAUAUCACUUAUGAGGAUAUGUAUAGAAAAACACGGAUAUGUGUUUGACGUUUAAAUUUUUUGUAUAGUAUGUUUUGGCCUAAAUGAAGAUCGGAAAAGGACAAAUUGAACGAAUGGUAAUAAUUGAGGUUUAACUUCCAAAGUUCAUAGAUGUUUUACCUAAGCCCGUUUGGUGUUAUCGGAAUAGAUAUUCCUCGUGGUGUAAUACUUUUGUAGAUGCUUAGGUAGGCUACAUUAUUCACACGCAUCUAUAAAAGUAAUACACUGUAGGCAUAUUUGUUUGGAUUGAUUUUGCUUAUUCUGGUGAACAUCUUCAUAAUAGUGUAGAAUACCUUUUCUGCUUUUCCAUCUCUAUCUCUCUCUGUAUAUAUGAUCCUACUCUAAUAGAAACCAGUUAAAUAGAAACUGUGUAAGAACCAAUGCUAUAAUAAGAAAUGGGAAGGGUUCUGGGUCUAAGGAUGGACCCCGAGGUGGUCGGAGUAGGACCUAGAGGGACCAGGGUGGGCCUAGCGGGGUUCUCAGGCGUGUCUAGAUAUACCAAAUCAAGUCACGGGAUAUCAUAUUUUAAUCACAUCUUCGUUUUAUAUAAAUUAAGAAAAAUUAGUCUUUAAUUUGGUAUAUCUUCGGGUCAAAUAAUUGAAUCAAGAUCAUAUAUAUAAGGAAAUUUUUUAUGGACAACACUAUUUUAUUUGAAACCAUAUAUGUCCUGCGAAUAUGCAAUAUUGUGCUUCCUUGCAAAAUAUUUAUCAAUAUAUUAUUUGGUAUAGAUUUAAAAUAUUAAUUUUACCAUAUUAAGAUUCAAAUUAAUAACUUAUAAAUUGUUGUUAUAAUAGUGAUGAAUAUAAUAUAUUGAAUGAUUUAAGAUUAUAAUCCCAUUUCAGGUUCAUAAACUUAUGAGUUAUCGUCUUUGAUUUAGGAUUUUUAUGCCUAGUUAUGAAUAUAAUUUUUUUGAUUUUCGAUUUUUUUUUCUUAUGUGUAACAAUGUUUUAAAAUAUUUGAAAUUUGUGAGAAAAAAUAUUAAAUGAAAAUGUUUGCAGGAUGACAGUUUGUGUGAGAUGUUGAGACUGGACCGGAAAUUUCAUGAACAAGCUCAAAUAUAUCAAAUAAGAGGAAUUUUUUCAUUUAUUUCAUAUUCAUAUCAUCACAUGACAAACAGGGUACAAGAACUCAAGGACAGAUAUAAAUAAAUUACAUAAAUGGCCUUCAACCCGCCCUGCUUGUGCGUGAUAAAAGUCAAGCUUCCUUUAGUUUAUGCUGCAGAAUCAAACAAAAAACUAAUAUUAGUAUGCGCAGUUGGUUUGUAUACAAUCAUGUAACAUGACUAAGUAUGUGCAAGUUUGCAACAGGCCAUCAAUUUCGAAAUCUGAAAAUUAAAAAACUUACGAAUUGCAGUUGAAGUAAGGAUCAGGAGAGAAGGAGACCGGAACGCCACAUUUCUGAGGGAUAGCAGCAACAUUAGAAAGCUGGACACCGCGGACUGCAGAAGAAGAUUGCUUAAG
rnacentral:lncRNA from 1 species